GUAUAAUAGAUAUAGUGUAGCAUCAUGAUAAACAUAUAAAGUAUUCUAAUUAUUUGGCAAAGUUUAAGUUGCACAUGUAAUACAUUGCCUCUUCUUCUCUAUAUUUUCAAGCUUUUUUCAUGGUGUUUUCAUGGAGUUUUCGUUUAUUCAACAGCCUUUUAUGGAACUCAAGGCACAACAAUAUGUGAACAAAGAAUAAUUUUUUAUGGUAAAGAAAAGCAAGGUAAUAAUACGAUGCUUCGCAAGUUUGCAAAUUUGAGAGAACUGCGAUUAGAAAGGCGGGGAAGAGGGAAGAAGAAUAAAUAUUCUUAUGUAAGUGGUAUACUGUAAGAUGUGAAUUUGGAUAAAAACGUUUCAAAUUAAUCAACAAAGAAAAGAGAUACAUUUAAGUAUUUGUAAAUUAUCAUCCAUUACUUCAAAUGACUACUUAACCUGAAAUAAAUCAAAACAGUAAGGAAAAAAAUUCGGUAAUUAUAAAAAAGAGGAGCCACAUAUCGAACUAUAUAGUAUUUGUUUGGAUAUAAGGUGAACACAGUAACUAUGGAGUUCGGUUCGAUAUGAACGGCAAGAUAAGCUGAAAAAUGCUCUCUUUGCAGCAGGGCCCUUAGAUGCGUCCAGGAUCAAAGUGCUAUAUCAGUGCUGUAAACACAAAUAAAAAUAGUACAGUUAUCAGCAAGAAACAAAACUAGUAAUGAAUCUAAUUAUGAAUCAUACACAUACCUCAUGUUCAAUGAGUUUGGCCUCUUCUGAUUUGAAUUCGUCACCUGCAUGAGAGCAUUCAUUAUUUGAACACAACAAUAGAGUUGCUUAACUCAAUUUUGGUGGAUUCUAUAUCUUGAUAUAUAAACUUUGAACACUUUAGCAUAUCUUUACUAUAACAGCAGUCAUUUAAGGACUCACAGAUGCUACUACAGAUCCUUACAUAGGAAAAACUACUUCGGAUAUCAAUUUUAUUUAAAGUUUCGAAUA